UACGUAGGGAGCAAGCGUUGUCCGGAAUCAUUGGGCGUAAAGCGCGCGUAGGUGGCCUCAUAAGUCCGCUGUGAAAGUCAAAGGCUCAACCUUUGAAAGCCGGUGGAUACUGUGAGGCUAGAGUACGGAAGAGGCGAGUGGAAUUCCUGGUGUAGCGGUGAAAUGCGCAGAUAUCAGGAGGAACACCAAUGGCGAAGGCAGCUCGCUGGAACGGUACUGACGCUGAGGCGCGAAAGCGUGGGGAGCGAACAGG
rnacentral:rRNA from 1 species